AAGACUAUACUUUCAGGGAUCAUUUCUAUAGUAUGUGACUAGAGAAGUUUCUCUGAUCGUGUAGAGUACCCGAAGCCACGAGGAUCCAGAGCGUCCUCUCCUGAGAGUGAAGCCGGCUCUAGGUGUCACUUCUGCGAUUGCCUUUGGCCAUUGAUGAUCAUUCUCCCUUUCCUCUGGAAUGGGUGGAGGGAUAGGAUGCAGUCUAAAUGGA